rnacentral:lncRNA from 10 species
AAACAAUCUCGAUUCUAAAUUGAAACGAACGCAGCAUUUCAGGGACUGGAUGAGGAGCUUACGGUUUUUUACAGAAUCAUCAAUAUCUUGGAAGAAAAAGAAUGUUAAGAAAUAACAAAACAAUAAUUAUUAAGUACUUUCUUAAUCUCAUUAAUGGAGCUUUCUUGGUUCUUGGACUUUUAUUCAUGGGAUUUGGUGCAUGGCUCUUAUUAGAUAGAAAUAAUUUUUUAACAGCUUUUGGUGGAGUCUCGCUCUGUCACUAGGCUGGAGUGCAGUGGCACGAUCUCGGCUCACUGCAACCUCCACCUCCCGGAUUCAAGCGAUUCUCCUGCCUCAGAUUCCGAAGUAGCUGGAAUUACAGUAUGCAGUAUUGAUAACAUGGACCUUUGCUGUUCAGGUUGUACUUUCAGCAUUCAUCAUCACAAAGAAAGAGGAGGUUCAGCAACUAUGGCAUGACAAAAUUGAUUUUGUCAUUUCUGAGUAUGGAUCUAAAGAUAAGCCUGAAGAUAUAACCAAGUGGACUAUUCUGAAUGCCUUACAGAAAACAUGUUGUGGCCAACAUAAUUACACAGACUGGAUAAAGAAUAAGAACAAAGAAAAUUCAGGACAGGUGCCAUGUUCUUGCACAAAGUCAACUUUAAGAAAAUGGUU